CCUACGGGAUGCAGCAGUGAGGAAUAUUGGUCAAUGGACGCAAGUCUGAACCAGCCAUGCCGCGUGCAGGAAGACGGCUCUAUGAGUUGUAAACUGCUUUUGUACGAGGGUAACCGCAGAUACGCGUAUCUGUCUGCAAGUAUCGUACGAAUACGGAUCGGCUAACUCCGUGCCAGCAGCCGCGGUAAUACGGAGGAUUCAAGCGUUAUCCGGAUUUAUUGGGUUUAAAGGGUGCGUAGGCGGUCGGAUAAGUUAGAGGUGAAAUCCCGAGGCUCAACUUCGGAAUUGCCUCUGAUACUGUUCGGCUAGAGAGUAGUUGCGGUAGGCGGAAUGUAUGGUGUAGCGGUGAAAUGCUUAGAGAUCAUACAGAACACCGAGUGCGAAGGCAGCUUACCAAGCUACUUCGGACGUUGAGGCACGAAAGCGUGGGGAGCAAACAGGAUUAGAUACCCCAGUAGUC
rnacentral:rRNA from 1 species